GACGAACGCUGGCGGCGUGCUUAACACAUGCAAGUCGAACGGAAAGGCCUGCUUUCCCUUGUGGAUUGCGGGUACUCGAGUGGCGAACGGGUGAGUAACACGUGAGUGAUCUGCCCCCAACUUGGGUAUAAGCCUGGGAAACUGGGUCUAAUUCCCGAUAGGACUGCAGGGUGGUGCCUGUGGUGGAAAACGAUUUUCUAGUGGUUGGGGAUGAGCUCGCGGCCUAUCAGCUUGUUGGUGGGGUAAUGGCCUACCAAGGCGGCGACGGGUAGCCGGCCUGAGGGGGUGGACGGCCACAUUGGGACUGAGAUACGGCCCAGACUCCGACGGGAGGCAGCAGUGGGGAAUAUUGCACAAUGGGCGGAAGCCUGAUGCAGCGACGCCGCGUGGGGGAUGACGGCCUUCGGGUUGUAAACUCCUUUCGACCGCGAGGAAGCCACCUGGUUGGAAGGGUGGUGACGGUAGUGGUAGAAGAAGCACCGGCUAGCUACGUG
rnacentral:rRNA from 1 species